GCCCGAGUGGUGGAAUUGGUAGACGCAGUGGACUCAAAAUCCACCGGACUAAUACUCCGUGCCGGUUCGAGUCGCCUCGGGCACCA
rnacentral:tRNA from 1 species